GCCGCGAUCGCCUAAUCUGGUAUGGCACCAGCCUGGAAAGCUGGACCCGAAAGGGUAUCUCGGUUCAAAUCCGGGUCGCGGCG
rnacentral:tRNA from 1 species